GCAAAACAACGGCCUAAUUCUGAGCAAUCAGAAGCGGAGGAACCACGUUACUUGGGGUUAAUCUUGGCAUGCCAAGAGGGAUGAGAUAGCUUCUCUGCCAUCCUACCCGUCAGCUAACUUCGCCGGCUAAAGCAGGGAAGGUUC
rnacentral:sRNA from 2 species